CGGUAAAACCAGCACCUCAAGUGGUCAGGAUGAUUAUUGGGCCUAAAGCAUCCGUAGCCGGCUCUGUAAGUUUUCGGUUAAAUCUGUACGCUCAACGUACAGGCUGCCGGGAAUACUGCAGAGCUAGGGAGUGGGAGAGGUAGACGGUACUCGGUAGGAAGGGGUAAAAUCCUUUGAUCUAUUGAUGACCACCUGUGGCGAAGGCGGUCUACCAGAACACGUCCGACGGUGAGGGAUGAAAGCUGGGGGAGCAAACCGGAUUAGAUACCCGGGUAGUCCCAGCUGUAAACUAUGCAAACUCAGUGAUGCAUUGACUUGUGGUCAAUGCAGUGCUGCAGGGAAGCCGUUAAGUUUGCCGCCUGGGAAGUACGUACGCAAGUAUGAAACUUAAAGGAAUUGGCGGGGGAGCACCACAAGGGGUGAAGCCUGCGGUUCAAUUGGAGUCAACGCCAGAAAUCUUACCCGGAGAGACAGCAGAAUGAAGGUCAAGCUGAAGACUUUACCAGACAAGCUGAGAGGUGGUGCAUGGCCGUCGCCAGCUCGUGCCGUGAGAUGUCCUGUUAAGUCAGGUAACGAGCGAGAUCCCUGCCUCUAGUUGCCACCAUUACUCUCAGGAGUAGUGGGGCGAAUUAGCGGGACCGCCGCAGUUAAUGCGGAGGAAGGAAGGGGCCACGGCAGGUCGGUAUGCCCCGAAACUCUGGGGCCACACGCGGGCUGCAAUGGUAAUGACAGUGGGUCCCGAAUCCGAAAGGAAGAGGUAAUCCUCAAACAUUACCACAGUUAUGACUGAGGGCUGCAACUCGCCCUCACGAAUAUGGAAUCCCUAGUAACUGCGUGUCAUUAUCGCGCGGUGAAUACGUCCCUGCUCC
rnacentral:rRNA from 1 species